CCUACGGGAGGCAGCAGUGAGGAAUAUUGGUCAAUGGGCGCGAGCCUGAACCAGCCAAGUAGCGUGAAGGAUGACUGCCCUACGGGUUGUAAACUUCUUUUAUAAGGGAAUAAAGUGUGGGACGUGUCCUGUUUUGUAUGUACCUUAUGAAUAAGGAUCGGCUAACUCCGUGCCAGCAGCCGCGGUAAUACGGAGGAUCCGAGCGUUAUCCGGAUUUAUUGGGUUUAAAGGGUUCGUAGGCGGCCUUUUAAGUCAGCGGUGAAAGUCUGUGGCUCAACCAUAGAAUUGCCGUUGAAACUGGGAGGGUUGAGUAUGUUUGAGGCAGGCGGAAUGCGUGGUGUAGCGGUGAAAUGCUUAGAUAUCACGCAGAACCCCGAUUGCGAAGGCAGCCUGCCAAGCCAUGACUGACGCUGAUGCACGAAAGCGUGGGGAUCAAACAGGAUUAGAUACCCGUGUAGUC
rnacentral:rRNA from 1 species